UGGGAAUUUUGGACAAUGGGCGCAAGCCUGAUCCAGCCAUGCCGCGUGCGGGAAGAAGGCCUUCGGGUUGUAAACCGCUUUUGUCAGGGAAGAAAUCUUCUGAGUUAAUACCUCGGGAGGAUGACGGUACCUGAAGAAUAAGCACCGGCUAACUACGUGCCAGCAGCCGCGGUAAUACGUAGGGUGCAAGCGUUAAUCGGAAUUACUGGGCGUAAAGCGUGCGCAGGCGGUUUUGUAAGACAGAGGUGAAAUCCCCGGGCUCAACCUGGGAACUGCCUUUGUGACUGCAAGGCUUGAGUGCGGCAGAGGGGGGAUGGAAUUCCGCGUGUAGCAGUGAAAAUGCGUAGAUAUGCGGAGGAACACCGAUGGCGAAAGGCAAUCCCCUGGGCCUGCACUGA
rnacentral:rRNA from 1 species